rnacentral:lncRNA from 1 species
UAUGCCUUGGAGAUGUUGGCCAGGAGUGACCAACAAAGUGACUCCUCAAAGCUACGAAGAAGCAAGCCUGCCCCCAGACCUGGUGGUUCAGGACCAUGGAGAGCAUCCUACAUAGCCUUCACCAGCCCAGACCCCAUCCAUAUUCUCACUCAUCUCCCUGUGUCCACCCUUGCCCUGCACCUAUCUGAUCCCCACAGUGCAGCCAGAUACACGUUUCUCUAAGAAAACUCAGGCCACUGGGGUGCCUGGAUGGCUCAGUCAGUGAAGCGUCUGACCCUUGAUUUCGGCUCAGGUCAUGAACUCAAGGUUUGUGAGUUCAAGCCCCUCCUCAGGCUCUGCACUGACAGUGUGGGGCCUGCUUGGGAUUCUUCAUCGGGAUCUCUCUCUUUCUCCCUCUCUCUCCCUUUCUCUCAAAAAUAAAUAAACCAACAUGUAAAACA